rnacentral:rRNA from 1 species
UUCCGGUUGAUCCCGCCGGACCUGACUGCUAUCGGAUUGAUACUAAGCCAUGCGAGUCAUUGUAGCAAUACAAGGCAUACGGCUCAGUAACGCGUAGUCAACCUAACCUAUGGACGGGAAUAACCUCGGGAAACUGAGAAUAAUGCCCGAUAGAACAUUAUGCCUGGAAUGGUUUAUGUUCCAAAUGAUUUAUCGCCGUAGGAUGGGACUGCGGCCUAUCAGUUUGUUGGUGAGGUAAUGGCCCACCAAGACUAUUACAGGUACGGGCUCUGAGAGGAGUAGCCCGGAGAUGGGUACUGAGACACGGACCCAGGCCCUAUGGGGCGCAGCAGGCGAGAAAACUUUGCAAUGUGCGAAAGCACGACAAGGUUAAUCCGAGUGAUUUGUGCUAAACGAAUCUUUUGUUAGUCCUAGAAACACUAACGAAUAAGGGGUGGGCAAGUUCUGGUGUCAGCCGCCGCGGUAAAACCAGCACCUCAAGUGGUCAGGAUGAUUAUUGGGCCUAAAGCAUCCGUAGCCGGCUCUGUAAGUUUUCGGUUAAAUCUGUACGCUUAACGUACAGGCUGCCGGGAAUACUGCAGAGCUAGGGAGUGGGAGAAGUAGACGGUACUCGGUAGGAAGUGGUAAAAUGCUUUGAUCUAUCGAUGACCACCUGUGGCGAAGGCGGUCUACUAGAACACGUCCGACGGUGAGGGAUGAAAGCUGGGGGAGCAAACCGGAUUAGAUACCCGGGUAGUCCCAGCUGUAAACUAUGCAAACUCAGUGAUGCAUUGGCUUGUGGCCAAUGCAGUGCUGCAGGGAAGCCGUUAAGUUUGCCGCCUGGGAAGUACGUACGCAAGUAUGAAACUUAAAGGAAUUGGCGGGGGAGCACCACAAGGGGUGAAGCCUGCGGUUCAAUUGGAUUCAACGCCGGG